GAUGAAGAACGCAGCGAAAUGCGAUAAGUAAUGCGAAUUGCAGAAUUCAGUGAGUCAUCGAAUCUUUGAACGCACAUUGCGCCCUGUGGUAUUCCGCAGGGCAUGCCUGUUCGAGCGUCAUUUCAACCCUCAAGCUCUGCUUGGUGUUGGGCCCUGCCCGCUGCGGCCGGCCCUAAAGACAGUGGCGGUGCCGCCUGGCCCUGAGCGUAGUACAUCUCUCGCUCCAGUGCCCGGUGGUAGCCUGCCAGAACCCCAACUCUCGUGGUUGACCUCGGAUCAGGUAGGGAUACCCGCUGAACUUAAGCAUAUCAAUAAGCGGUGA
rnacentral:misc_RNA from 1 species